AGUGAACGCUGGCGGUAGGCCUAACACAUGCAAGUCGAACGGCAGCACAGUAAGAGCUUGCUCUUACGGGUGGCGAGUGGCGGACGGGUGAGGAAUACAUCGGAAUCUACUUUUUCGUGGGGGAUAACGUAGGGAAACUUACGCUAAUACCGCAUACGACCUACGGGUGAAAGCAUGGGAUCUUCGGACCUUGCGCGAUUGAAUGAGCCGAUGUCGGAUUAGCUAGUUGGCGGGGUAAAGGCCCACCAAGGCGACGAUCCGUAGCUGGUCUGAGAGGAUGAUCAGCCACACUGGAACUGGGACACGGUCCAGACUCCUACGGGAGGCAGCAGUGGGGAAUAUUGGACAAUGGGCGCAAGCCUGAUCCAGCCAUACCGCGUGGGUGAAGAAGGCCUUCGGGUUGUAAAGCCCUUUUGUUGGGAAAGAAAAGCAGCAGGUUAAUACCCCGCUGUUCUGACGGUACCCAAAGAAUAAGCACCGGCUAACUUCGUG
rnacentral:rRNA from 1 species